GAGGGUAAAGCUCAGUGGUAGAGCAUGUGCUUGGCACGCACAAGGUCCUAGGUUCAAUCCCCAGUGCCUCCA
rnacentral:tRNA from 1 species